rnacentral:rRNA from 1 species
UACGAAGGGGGCUAGCGUUGUUCGGAAUUACUGGGCGUAAAGCGCACGUAGGUGGAUAUUUAAGUCAGGGGUGAAAUCCCGCAGCUCAACUGCGGAACUGCCUUUGAUACUGGGUAUCUUGAGUAUGGAAGAGGUUAGUGGAAUUGCGAGUGUAGAGGUGAAAUUCGUAGAUAUUCGCAGGAACACCAGUGGCGAAGGCGGCUAACUGGUCCAUAACUGACGCUGAGGUGCGAAAGCGUGGGGAGCAAACAGG